rnacentral:rRNA from 1 species
UACGUAGGGUGCAAGCGUUAAUCGGAAUUACUGGGCGUAAAGCGUGCGCAGGCGGUUUUGUAAGACCGAUGUGAAAUCCCCGGGCUCAACCUGGGAACUGCAUUGGUGACUGCAAGGCUUGAGCGUGUCAGAGGGAGGUGGAAUUCCGCGUGUAGCAGUGAAAUGCGUAGAUAUGCGGAGGAACACCGAUGGCGAAGGCAGCCUCCUGGGAUAACACUGACGCUCAUGCACGAAAGCGUGGGGAGCAAACAGG